AUGGUAACUUAUAAGUGUGCUUUGCCUAUUUUUUUACUUGUGCAUGUUACUUUAAACGUAUUUGCAAAUAACAGUUCUAGAUAUUUUCAUGAAAAUGUUGUAGGUGAUAGUUAUUACAAAGAUAAUAAUAAUAAUAAUACAUUUGAUUAUAAUAAACGGGAAAUACAUAAGCAUGAGCAUAUACAAGGACAAAAUGAGUUUAAUGGUAUGAAAAAUGUUGAAACUGGAUUCAUAGAAAAUAAAAAAGAAGGACGCAGUUUAUAUAAAUUACAUUUAAAUGAAAAUAAUUUAAAAUGGACCCUUCCUGUUUUUAUGGGUACCCAACAAACUAAACUAAAUCUACUUGUAAACACAGCUACACCUACUACAGCAGUACAUUGUUCUUAUGAUUCAACAAACAAUGUAUCAAAUGAUGUAGAAUCAUCAUAUAAUGUUCAAGGAUCAGAUGAUUUUAAUGCUGUUAAUUGCAAAGAAAAUUUUUGUCUUGAUUUGAAACACCAUGGAUCUUGUGAUUCAAUACAAAAUAAUUUCAAGUUUUUAGAAAAACAACAUGGAAGACUUAGAAAAUAUAAUAAAUAUGGUAGCUCUAAGUUUACAGGUAAUAACAGUUUUUUAAAUAUGAACUCUAAUGCUGGUAAUGAAACUGUUUGUUUGAUGAGUGAAAAUUUAAAUGAGAGUGAUAUAAAAGGAUUUUUUUUUGGUGAUUCAUUAUCUUUCAAUAAUGACUAUAAAACUAAAUGCGUUUAUCCCUAUUUUGGAUGUAUAACUGAUAAUAAGAAUUUGCAUUUAGAUAAAGGAGUUUCAGGUUUUAUAGGUUUGUCACCAGUUUAUAAAAAUAAAAAAAAUAAUAAUCAAUAUCCUGGAAUUACAAAUUAUUUUAUUCAUAGUGAUAUGACUUCGAGACCAGACACCUGGGCCUUACAUUUAAUCAAAAAUGGUGGAUCUAUCGUAUUCGGUGAAAACCAAUCAGUUUAUUCUUAUGCAAAAAAUAAUCUUCAAAUGAUAGAAACAAAAGCUAAAGCAAAAGAUAAUGAAGAUGAAUUUACACAAAAGAAUAAUUUUUCAGAUGAUAAUAAAUCAUACAUAAAUUAUAAACUAAAAAAUAAUGCAUAUGCCGUAAAUUUAAGUUCAGUAGAAGCAAAUAUGAAAAAUAAUUAUAUUUUUUUAAAUGUAAAGAGUACAGCAAUUCUUGACACAUCGAAUCCAUAUAUAACUUUACCACCAUCUUUUGUUAACAAUUUUAAACAAUCUCUGAGCAAUUUAUGCAAAACUGAAAAUAAAAUUUGUAAAUACCCAUUAAAAGAUGAAAUCACAAUAUAUAAUUAUCCAAAGCUAAUACAACUAUUACCUGAUAUAAAACUAUCUAUAAAUGAUCAACAUGAAGUAUCAAUUAAACCGGAUGCCUAUAUUGUAAAGAAAAAUGACGAUAAUUACAAAGUUUUAAUAAAUGCUUCUGAUGAUAUAAGUUUAGGAGUUCCGUUUUUUUUGGAUAAAUAUAUAAUAUUUAAUGAUGCACAUAAAAGAAUAAAAAUAUUUGACGCUCCACCCAUGAGCAGCAAAAAUGGUGAAGACUAUUCUAUGAUGAAUUUAAUUCAAAAUAAAACAGAUAAAUUUAACAAAAGAUUUAGGUCUUCAACACAAAGAAAUGCAAGUAAUUUAAAAGGAGAAAUGUAUGGAGUACAAAUAAAAGGAGGUGAAGUGCAUGGACACGGACAUGGACACGGACAUGGAGAUGGACAUGGACACGGACAUGGACAUGGACAUGGACAUGGACAUGGACACGGAUAUGAAUAUGAAUAUGAGUAUGGAUUUGAAAAUGGUCACAGACAUGAUAACGGAC
rnacentral:lncRNA from 1 species